GUGCUCACUUCACAGCGCCUAUACUAAAAUUGGAAUGAUACUCAGAAGACUAGUCAUGGCCCCUGUGCAAGGAUAACACACAAAUUGGUGAAGCGUUCCAUAUUUUU
rnacentral:snRNA from 1 species